AGGAUGAACGCUGGCGGCGUGCUCAACACAUGCAAGUCGAACGAUGAAGGCUGGAGCUUGCUCUGGCUGGAUUAGUGGCGAACGGGUGAGUAACACGUGAGUAACCUGCCCCAGACUCUGGGAUAAGCGCUGGAAACGGCGUCUAAUACCGGAUACGAGCUUCCACCGCAUGGUGAGGAGCUAGGAAA
rnacentral:rRNA from 1 species